GGGGAAUCUUGGACAAUGGGGGCAACCCUGAUCCAGCGACGCCGCGUGGGUGAUGAAGGCCUUCGGGUUGUAAAGCCCUUUUGUCGGGGACGAUGAUGACGGUACCCGACGAAUAAGCACCGGCUAACCCCGUGCCAGCAGCCGCGGUAAGACGGAGGGUGCUAGCGUUGUUCGGAAUUACUGGGCGUAAAGGGCGCGUAGGUGGCUUGUUAAGUCGGGUGUGAAAGCCCGGGGCUCAACCCCGGAACGGCACCCGAGACUGGCAGGCUGGAGACCGGGAGAGGAGAGUGGAAUACCCAGUGUAGAGGUGAAAUUCGUAGAUAUUGGGUGGAACACCAGUGGCGAAAGCGGCCCUCUGGCCCGGUUCUGACACUGAGGCGCGAAAGCGUGGGGAGCAAAC
rnacentral:rRNA from 1 species